GUGGCACUCAAACUGUGGGGGCACUUUCUGUUAUGUGACGAAAGUGCCGCUACUUUUUGAGUGUUAC
ensembl:miRNA MIR371A microRNA 371a